AUUGAACGCUGGCGGCAGGCCUAACACAUGCAAGUCGAACGGUAACAGGAAACAGCUUGCUGUUUCGCUGACGAGUGGCGGACGGGUGAGUAAUGUCUGGGAAACUGCCUGAUGGAGGGGGAUAACUACUGGAAACGGUAGCUAAUACCGCAUAACGUCGCAAGACCAAAGAGGGGGACCUUCGGGCCUCUUGCCAUCGGAUGUGCCCAGAUGGGAUUAGCUAGUAGGUGGGGUAACGGCUCACCUAGGCGACGAUCCCUAGCUGGUCUGAGAGGAUGACCAGCCACACUGGAACUGAGACACGGUCCAGACUCCUACGGGAGGCAGCAGUGGGGAAUAUUGCACAAUGGGCGCAAGCCUGAUGCAGCCAUGCCGCGUGUAUGAAGAAGGCCUUCGGGUUGUAAAGUACUUUCAGCGGGGAGGAAGGGAGUAAAGUUAAUACCUUUGCUCAUUGACGUUACCCGCAGAAGAAGCCACGGCUAACUACGUGCCAGCCGCCGCAGUAA
rnacentral:rRNA from 1 species